rnacentral:rRNA from 1 species
GAUGAACGCUGGCGGCGUGCCUAAUACAUGCAAGUCGAGCGGUAAGGCUCCUUCGGGAGUACACGAGCGGCGGACGGCUGAGUAACACGUAGGAACGUACCCCAAACUGAGGGAUAAGCACCAGAAAUGGUGUCUAAUACCGCAUGUGAUCUCCGGAUUAAAGCUACGGCGGUUUGGGAACGGCCUGCGCACGAUUAGAUAGUUGGUGAGGUAAUGGCUCACCAAGUCGACGAUCGUUAGCUGGUCUGAGAGGAUGAUCAGCCAGACUGGGACUGAGAACGGCCCAGACUCCUACGGGAGGCAGCAGUAGGGUAAUUUUCCACAAUGGACGAAAGUCUGAUGGAGCAACGCCGCGUGCAGGAUGAAUGCCUUCGGGUUGUAAACUGCUUUUAUCUGUGACGAAUAUGACGGUAGCAGAUGAAUAAGGAUCGGCUAACUCCGUG